GUCAGGAUGACCGAGUGGGCCAAGGCGAUGCGUUCAGUUUGCAGUCCACUCUGUGAGCGUGGGUUCGAAUCCCACUCCUGACA
rnacentral:tRNA from 1 species